AUGCCCACCUGGCCGAACCGGCAGGAGCAGGAGGAGGAGAAACCUCUCCCAUCCCCACCUCCCCUCUGUCCCGCGGGGCUCCGGGCGGCCGUGACCCUGCUGGAGUCCGGGGGGGACCUCCAGCCCCCCGGGGGGUCCCUGCGCCUCCUCUGCCGCGCCUCCGGCUUCGAUUUUGGGAGCUACGAAAUGGACUGGGUGCGCCAGAGACCCGGGCAGGGCCUGGAGUGGCUUGCGGGGAUCAGCAGCGGUGGCAGCACCGCGUACGCGCCGUCGGUGAAGGGCCGGGCGACGAUCUCCAGGGACAACGGGCAGAGCUCGGUGACGCUGACCAUGAACGGCCUCAAGGACGAGGAUUCCGGCUCCUGUUUCUGUGCCAAAAAAGCUGAUGGUUGUUGUGCUGAUCCUGCUGCUGCUGCCUCUGGUUGGAAACUUCCCCCAAAGCUCAUCCCCUGA